rnacentral:rRNA from 1 species
UACGGGGGGAGCAAGCGUUGUUCGGAUUUACUGGGCGUAAAGGGCGCGUAGGCGGCCACUGCAAGUCAAUUGUGAAAUCUCCGGGCUUAACUCGGAAAGGUCAACUGAUACUGCAGGGCUAGAGUGCGGAAGGGGCAACUGGAAUUCUCGGUGUAGCGGUGAAAUGCGUAGAUAUCGAGAGGAACACCUGCGGCGAAGGCGGGUUGCUGGGCUGACACUGACGCUGAUGCGCGAAAGCUAGGGGAGCGAACGGG